GGAAACGGAGAGUAAUACCGCAUACGCCCUUCGGGGGAAAGAUUUAUCGGAGAAGGAUCAGCCCGCGUCUGAUUAGGUAAUUGGUGGGGUAACGGCCUACCAAGCCUACGAUCAGUAGCUGGUUUGAGAGGAUGAUCAGCCACACUGGAACUGUGACACGGUCCAGACUCCUACGGGAGGCAGCAGUAGGGAAUCUUAGACAAUGGGCGAAAGCCUGAUCUAGCCAUGCCGCGUGUGUGACGAAGGCCCUAGGGUCGUAAAGCACUUUCGCCAGGGAUGAUAACGACAGUACCUGGUAAAGAAACCCCGGCUAACUCCGUGCCAGCAGCCGCGGUAAUACGGAGGGGGUUAGCGUUGUUCGGAAUUACUGGGCGUAAAGCGCGCGUAGGCGGACCAUUAAGUUAGAGGUGAAAUCCCAGGGCUCAACCCUGGAACUGCCUUUAAUACUGGUGGUCUUGAGUUCGAGAGAGGUGAGUGGAAUUCCGAGUGUAGAGGUGAAAUUCGUAGAUAUUCGGAGGAACACCAGUGGCGAAGGCGGCUCACUGGCUCGAUACUGACGCUGAGGUGCGAAAGUGUGGGGAGCAAACAGGAUUAGAUACCCUGGUAGUCCACACCGUAAACGAUGAAUGCCAGUCGUCGGCAAGCAUGCUUGUCGGUGACACACCUAACGGAUUAAGCAUUCCGCCUGGGGAGUACGGUCGCAAGAUUAAAACUCAAAGGAAUUGACGGGGGCCCGCACAAGCGGUGGAGCAUGUGGUUUAAUUCGAAGCAACGCGCAGAACCUUACCAACCCUUGACAUCCUCGUCGCGGUUACCAGAGAUGGUUUCCUUCAGUUCGGCUGGACGAG
rnacentral:rRNA from 1 species